GACGAACGCUGGCGGCGUGCUUAACACAUGCAAGUCGAACGGAAAGGCCCUGCUUUGUUGGGGUGCUCGAGUGGCGAACGGGUGAGUAACCCUUGAGUAACCUGCCCUUGACUUUGGGAUAACUUCAGGAAACUGGGGCUAAUACCGGCUAGGAGCUCCUGCUGCAUGGUGGGGGUUGGAAAGUUUCGGCGGUUGGUGAUGGACUCGCGGCUUAUCAGGUUGUUGGUGGGGUAGUGGAUUACCAAGGCUUUGACGGGUAGCCGUCCUGAGAGGGUGACCGGCUAAAUCGGGACUGAACUACGGCCCAGCCUAGUACGGGACGGAGGAGUGCAGAAUAUUGUACAAUGGGCGGAAGGAUGAUGCAGCAAAGCAGCGUGGGGGAUGACGGGAAUGGGGUUGUAAUCUGAUUCCGCCUGUGACGAAGUGUGAGUGACGGUAAUGGGUGAAGAAGCACCGGCUAACUACGUG
rnacentral:rRNA from 1 species